rnacentral:rRNA from 1 species
UACAGAGGGUGCAAGCGUUGUUCGGAAUUAUUGGGCGUAAAGCGCGUGUAGGCGGCUUAGCAAGUCGGGCGUGAAAGCCCUCGGCUCAACCGAGGAAGUGCACCCGAAACUGCUGAGCUUGAGUGCCGGAGAGGAUGGCGGAAUUCCCCAAGUAGUGGUGAAAUUCGUAGAUAUGGGGAGGAACACCGGUGGCGAAGGCGGCCACCUGGACGGUCACUGACGCUGAGACGCGAAAGCGUGGGUAGCAAACAGG